CCAGUCGAAUUCUGGCUCAGGAUCUCCCUGUCCUCCGCUCGACGCCAUGUUGGCAGUCAAUGACUAGCCGGAAGUGCCGCAUUGAUGGGCGGGACUUACCUAAACUAAAACGUCACGGCAUGUCACUCAUACAACAGGUGAGAGUUCUAUGCAGCAAUCUGCGCCGGACCUUGAUUUUCUCACGGAGAACCCCUUAAGAACAAACAGAUUGAUCCUAAUCAGUCAGGCUUCAAGAGAGGCCAUUCCACCAAGACAGCUCUAUUUACUGUUAUCAGCAUGUUAUGGCUGGCUAGAGGUACAGACAUGUCAUCUGUCUUCAUCCUAUUAAAUCUUUUCUCAGCUUUCAACACGAUUAACCACCAGAUCCUCAUUGCCACGCUCUCUGACCCUUUACUUUCCUAAAUUGGUUUGAGUCCUACUUCUUGGGUAGAUCUUACUAUGUGUCCUGGAAAGGAGAAAUGUCAAAGGUGCACCAGGCAAGCAUGGGAGUGCCUCAAGGAUUGGUGCUGGGCCCACUCCUCUUCUAUUUAUACACCUCCUCACUAGGCUCUCUCAUCAUGUCCUACUGUAUGGUUUUGCUUAUUAGUGCUAUGCCAAUGAUAUGCAGCUGUACCUGUUGUUCCCUCCAUAGCACCACAUGGUAUCAGCUAGAAUCUUUGCAUAUCUCACUGAUAAUUACAACCUGGUUGAAGGAAUGCCAUCACCAGGUUAACUGGGUAAAGAUAGACUUUCUUUUUAUCCCAUCUCUGUUCCACUCAGCUCAUUAUUGUCGUACAUGACUCAUUCUUAAUUAUCCAUUUAUAAUAAGGUUCAGAGCAAUACUGACAUCUUCUGAUUUGAAUGAUGUAAACUUUAGUUUCUUUAAAUCAACACUCAUUUUAUGUGUUGCCUUUAAUAUUGGUCAAACCUAAUGGGUUUCAAUCCCAGUCUUAGGGAACCCCUGUGGCUGCAGGUUUUUAUUUAACCAGUUUCACAAUUAAUGGGUCUUUUGGCCUCUGGUUGAUCUUGCAAUUUAAUUAGUUGGUCUUUUUUUUACUUCUCCUAUUCUGCAUUUAGAAAAGAGCAGUAGUGUGAUAUUUGCAUUUAAAAUAAAUUUAGUAAUAUUUGUAUCUUUGCCAUAGUUUAAAGCAAAAUAAAAACCUGUAGUUACAAGGGUCCACCAAGCAAUUGGAAUCUACUAGUCUAAUCUUUGAUCUGCGCAUUUCCAUAUUUCUAAAACUUUCUUCGUUCCACAUAGAAUAUUACAAAGUUAAGACUAUUCCUAGAUAUGUGGCAUAUAGAAGCACUAGAAAAUGAAUACAUUAAAUUAUUUUUACCAGAAAGAAUUAACUACCACAGAGCUUUACUUUCAGUUUGUCCAAAUCCUUCUAUUACUUUUCUGCAGUUUAUUUAGAUUACUGCAGCAAGGAACAUAACUAAAAGGAGGAAGUAAAGUUUAUUAAUGUGUAUAAUCCAGAGUUUUUGUCACCAUCACAAGAUAAAGGCCUUCUUAGCUGCUACGAUAAAUAAACUGUCUUGUAGUCCACAAUAUCCAAUAAUGACUUCUGCAUCUGUGUUAUUGAUGUUUUUAAUACAUUUUAAGGUAUUUUCAUUAGGCCAUACAAUGAAUAUCAUUUGUUGCUGCUCCAUUUGGUGCAGAAAUAUUGAAUAUGCAAUUUCAUCACACUACAUUGUACAAUAAUUUAUUGCAGCACUGAAUGAACUGAUAUAGAUUAAAAAAUGUAAAAAUAUUAAUAACUAUGCAACAGUGUAAAAUUUAACAAGUAUAGAUAUCAGGUAUGAGCAUAAAAAUGUGCAAGAGCUACACAGUGGUCAGUAACAAUAAAUAAGUAGUGCAAAUUGAUUAGUACUGUAUGUGCUUACAUAGUCUUGGUAACAGGUCAAGCAGAUGUCAUCAUAAGAGUUAACAAUUUAGCGGCACUAUAGUACCAGUGAAUGCGGUUUGCAAGUCUGCUGGCACAACUACAAUAUCACUUUCUCAAUUGCAAAUGUGUUCUUUCUUCAGAUUCUUGUCAUAAAUGUUCUAUAUGGAUGGAAGUAUGGAUCUAGUGAUAAACUAAGUUCAUUUUAACUACAGUGCAGUGACCAUACCAGAUUUUACUGCAAUUAAUAAUUUGUCAUCAUGCAUCUGUAUAAACUAGUAAGGAUUUUGGAGGACAGAUUGACUUUCUUUAUUUUGUGAAAAGUUGGUACUGUGGGACGAGAGAAGUUCAGAAGUGGUGCAUUUCUCAAUUGACUUAAUGCUGCUCACUUUUUACACUGCAAGCUAUAAUAAUGUCAAUAGGUACAUGGCCUGUCCAAGUCUCCUGAAAUCCACAAUUGGCUCAUUUGUUUUAUUGACACUUGGGGAGGUUAUUUUGUGCGGAAUCAAAUGAGAAGUUUAAUCUCCUACUUGUAGGCUAUCUGGUCAUAGUUGAUAAAUAAAUCCACUAUUCGUGUCAUAUUAAGGCUCAGUGUUAGAAUUUGUACCAUGUUAGGCAAUACAAUCAUGUAGAAAUAGGGAAAUCAGUUGUGAUCUGAGUACAUAGCCCUGUUCUGCUCUGAGGCUGAUAGAUAUGGAUUCUCAUGCCCGACAACAUCAGGUCUACAAAUCGGAAAGUCCUGAAUAAAGCUACAGGGGCUGGCAUUUAGACCAAGCUUUCCUAGUAGCUUAAAUGUUGUCAGUAUUGAGUGCCUAACUAAAGUCAACAAAUAGCAUUCUCCCAUACUCCUUUUGUCAAGUGUAAGGGAUAUAUUUUAACCUUUUCAGUUGAGAGAUUUAAAGUAAGAAGCCUAAGCCUAAAAGUCUUGUCAAGCUGAACAGAAGUGCAAUGUGUUCUGGGAAAGUUAAGAGACAAAGCAGGAUUCAGAAUAAUUCACAUAGUUAGAAAGUGAAGCAGGGGCUUCGAAUGUUUUGUAUUGCCAUUCUGUUUGCAGCUUCAAGCAACUUUUUCAUUCCUAUGGUAAUUGACCUUGCGAACCAGACAGGGUUUGAAGCAUGUUCAUGAAUGCGUAUAUACAAGAUGAUUGUGAUUUAUGACAAGAAAAUUGUGUAAAAAUGUGUAUAUGCUAGAUUUUAUACAUAUUUUUAAUGUUUUUGCCAUAUAAACAUUUUCAUGCUAUAAUCCACAAAAAUGCCAACAGUCCUGUAAUAUCAAAUUAGCAUUAUUUCAACACUACAGCUUACUUAUGCGCUGAUGAGCAUCCCUUUAUGGCCAAAGUCUACCCUUAUGUUAACUAUUAUCAAAAGCAGGAUAACAUCACAAAGUCUUCACCAUUUCAUGACAGUUAUUUCAGUUUAAUCCAAAUGCCUGCAUGGUCAACAGAGAAAGAUAAAGGUUCCUCAUUAAAGCACCUUUGAGACAAAUUGAAAGAAGAGGUUUGUGCUAUGAGUAUGUGGCCAGAAAAUCUAAAGAAACUACACAAUUCUAUCAAGUCAGCAAAUAAGAACUUGGACUGUAAAUACAAGUCAAAAUGGGAACUGUGUGAGCUAAUAAUACUGAGUAACCUGCCAGGAAUAAGGACACCUAGGUAAACAGCCUGCGCCACCACCACCUACUCAAACCAUCAUGAUGCUC